UAGAGUUUGAUCUUGGCUCAGGAUGAANGCUGGCGGCGUGCCUAAUACAUGCAAGUCGAGCGAACAGAUGAGAAGCUUGCUUCUCUGAUGUUAGCGGCGGACGGGUGAGUAACACGUGGGUAACCUACCNAUAAGACUGGGAUAACUCCGGGAAACCGGGGCUAAUACCUGAUAAUAUUUUGAACCGCAUGGUUCAAUAGUGAAAGACGGCUUCGGCUGUCACUUAUAGAUGGACCCGCGCCGUAUUAGNUAGUUGGUAAGGUAAUGGCUUACCAAGGCNACGAUACGUAGCCGACCUGAGAGGGUGAUCGGCCNCACUGGAACUGAGACACGGUCCAGACUCCUACGGGAGGCAGCAGUAGGGAAUCUUCUGCAAUGGGCGAAAGCCUNACGGAGCAACGCCGCGUGAGUGAUGAAGGUCUUAGGAUCGUAAAACUCUGUUGUUAGGGAAGAACAAAUUUGUUAGUAACUGAACAAGUCCUUGUACGGUACGCUAACCAAAAAGACCACGG
rnacentral:rRNA from 2 species